CGGCCUUUUUUGAAUUAAAAUAUCAGUUCCAAACCCAGAGUGUGAAGAAACUGUGGUGUCUGGGCAGUGUCCAUGCUGCACUGUGGCUUGUCUGCUGCCUGAGCCCUGAACACACAGCACACGCGCUGAGCCCUGCACACGCCCUCAGGCUGCUCACCACCAGUGAGGACGGCCAGAAAUGGCUCUGAUUCCAGACUCCACGCCAGGAACUGUAGUGCUUUGACUAAUACUGUGCUGUCGUGUUGUAAAGCCCUGCCUCUCCCGACUGGAGAACAUGGAUGCUCCUUCAAGCAAACAGGCAUCAUUUCCGUCAGAACAAUUUGACUACUUGCAAGAGACCCUGGAUAUCAGAGGAAUCUGGGCCGUGAGAAAAAUCAUCACAUUGAUCACCGUCUAUCAACCUCUCUAGCCAAAGACCCUCUCCUACUCUGAGUCCUGCGGAAUUCUGUAUUGGAUCAGCCCAACCCCACAGAUGGAUGGUUUUCUGUUCAUGGCAGCUGGCUUGAUAGAUCAACCUAAUCAAUGUAUAGAUGCUAUAUUUUCAGGAUGCUAAAAUGUACAUUUUUUCACAUUCA